rnacentral:misc_RNA from 1 species
GAUGAAGAACGUAGCAAAAUGCGAUACUUGGUGUGAAUUGCAGAAUCCCGUGAACCAUCGAGUUUUUGAACGCAAGUUGCGCCCGAAGCCUUUUGGCCGAGGGCACGUCUGCCUGGGCGUCACGCAUCGCGUCGCCCCCCACAAUUCUCCGUAAAGGGAACAUGUGUUUUGGGGGCGGAAAUUGGUCUCCCGUGCUCAUGGCGUGGUUGGCCGAAAUAGGAGUCCUUUCGAUGGACGCACGAACUAGUGGUGGUCGUAAAAACCCUCGUCUUUUGUUUCGUGCUGUUGCUCGCAAGGUAAACUCUUUAAAAACCCCAAUGUGUCGUCUCUUGACGACGCUUCGACCGCGACCCCAGGUCAGGCGGGACUACCCGCUGAGUUUAAGCAUAUCAAUAAGCGGAGGA